GGGGAAUUUUCCGCAAUGGGCGAAAGCCUGACGGAGCAAUACCGCGUGAGGGAGGAAGGCUCUUGGGUCGUAAACCUCUUUUCUCAGGGAAGAAAAAAAUGACGGUACCUGAGGAAUAAGCAUCGGCUAACUCCGUGCCAGCAGCCGCGGUAAUACGGAGGAUGCAAGCGUUAUCCGGAAUGAUUGGGCGUAAAGCGUCCGCAGGUGGCUAUGUAAGUCUGCUGUUAAAGAGUGAGGCUCAACCUCAUAAGAGCAGUGGAAACUACAUUGGCUAGAGUACGUUCGGGGCAGAGGGAAUUCCUGGUGUAGCGGUGAAAUGCGUAGAGAUCAGGAAGAACACCGGUGGCGAAAGCGCUCUGCUAGGCCGUAACUGACACUGAGGGACGAAAGCUAGGGGAGCGAAUGGGAUUAGAUACCCCA
rnacentral:rRNA from 1 species